CAGCUUGAUACAACAGCCACAAUUUGUCUUAUUUGUUUACUUUUUUUUUUAGGAAAUCCUGGGCAACUCUUUGGGAAGCUGCAGAAAUUCUUCAGUGCCACAAAAGUACCAUUCUGAUAUGACUGCUGGUGAUGCUUAUGUAUAAAAAGAGAACUCAGGAUUUUUAGUGGGCCAGUAACCCAUCACACUGCUGCCUUACAACAC
rnacentral:lncRNA from 1 species